AUGUGGAGCAACCUGUCCUUAAGUAGGAGUAAAUUACCUUAAAAAAAAAAAAGAAUACUAGAUAAUUUUCCCUUUAAGUGUCUUGA
rnacentral:pre_miRNA from 1 species